GUUGUAUGGUUAAGUGACUAAGCGUGCACGGUGGAUGCCUUGGCAGUCAGAGGCGAUGAAGGACGUGCUAACCUGCGUUAAGCACGGGUGAGCUGGUAAGAAGCGCUUGAGCCCGUGAUGUCCGAAUGGGGAAACCCACUCUACUUUGUAGAGUAUCGCUGCGUGAAUACAUAGCGUAGCGAGGCGAACCGGGAGAACUGAAACAUCUAAGUACCCCGAGGAAAAGAAAUCAACCGAGAUCCCCUUAGUAGCGGCGAGCGAACGGGGGCCAGCCCUUAAGCAGCUUGAGUGGUAGUGGAAUGGUCCUGGAAAGGCCAGCGAUAAUGGGUGAUAGCCCCGUACACGAAACGGCUCUUGUUGUGAAAUCGAGUAGGACGGGACACGUGAUAUCCUGUCUGAACAUGGGGGGACCAUCCUCCAAGGCUAAAUACUCCUGACUGACCGAUAGUGAACCAGUACCGUGAGGGAAAGGCGAAAAGAACCCCUGUGAGGGGAGUGAAAUAGAACCUGAAACCGUGUACGUACAAGCAGUGGAAGCCCUUCGAGGGUGACUGCGUACCUUUUGUAUAAUGGGUCAGCGACUUACUUUUAGUAGCAAGGUUAACCGUAUAGGGGAGCCGUAGGGAAACCGAGUCUUAACUGGGCGACUAGUUGCUAGGAGUAGACCCGAAACCCGGUGAUCUAGCCAUGAGCAGGUUGAAGGUUGAGUAACAUCAACUGGAGGACCGAACCCACUAAUGUUGCAAAAUUAGGGGAUGACUUGUGGCUGGGGGUGAAAGGCCAAUCAAACCGGGAGAUAGCUGGUUCUCCCCGAAAGCUAUUUAGGUAGCGCCUCGGACGAAUACUACUGGGGGUAGAGCACUGUUUGGGCUAGGGGGUCAUCCCGACUUACCAACCCCAUGCAAACUCCGAAUACCAGUAAGUACUAUCCGGGAGACACACGGCGGGUGCUAACGUCCGUCGUGAAGAGGGAAACAACCCAGACCGCCGGCUAAGGUCCCAAAGUCCUAGUUAAGUGGGAAACGAAGUGGGAAGGCUCAGACAGCCAGGAUGUUGGCUUAGAAGCAGCCAUCAUUUAAAGAAAGCGUAAUAGCUCACUGGUCGAGUCGGCCUGCGCGGAAGAUGUAACGGGGCUAAAACUAGGCACCGAAGCCGCGGAUGUGUUCUUUGAACACGUGGUAGGGGAGCGUUCUGUAAGUCUGCGAAGGUGUGUUGUGAAGCAUGCUGGAGAUAUCAGAAGUGCGAAUGCUGACAUGAGUAACGAUAAAGGGGGUGAAAAACCUCCUCGCCGGAAGACCAAGGGUUCCUGUCCAACGUUAAUCGGGGCAGGGUGAGUCGGCCCCUAAGGCGAGGCCGAAAGGCGUAGUCGAUGGGAAACGGGUUAAUAUUCCCGUACUGACACACAUUGCGAUGGGGGGACGGAGAAGGCUAAGUGAGCCAGGCGUUGGUUGUCCUGGUGAAAGGGAGUAGGUGGUGAUUUUAGGCAAAUCCGGAAUCACAACGCUGAGACCCGAGACGAAGGUACUACGGUACCGAAGUCACUGAUGCCCUGCUUCCAGGAAAAGCCUCUAAGCUUCAGAUGUGUGUGAACCGUACCCCAAACCGACACAGGUGGUCGGGUAGAGAAUACCAAGGCGCUUGAGAGAACUCGGGUGAAGGAACUAGGCAAAAUAGUACCGUAACUUCGGGAGAAGGUACGCUGGAGCG
rnacentral:rRNA from 1 species